UUGCUCAUUAUGAUCGAUGAUACCCAUGC
rnacentral:piRNA from 1 species